UGUCGUCAGCUCGUGUUGUGAAAUGUUGGGUUAAGUCCCGCAACGAGCGCAACCCUUAUCCUUUGUUGCCAGCGGUCCGGCCGGGAACUCAAAGGAGACUGCCAGUGAUAAACUGGAGGAAGGUGGGGAUGACGUCAAGUCAUCAUGGCCCUUACGACCAGGGCUACACACGUGCUACAAUGGCGCAUACAAAGAGAAGCGACCUCGCGAGAGCAAGCGGACCUCAUAAAGUGCGUCGUAGUCCGGAUUGGAGUCUGCAACUCGACUCCAUGAAGUCGGAAUCGCUAGUAAUCGUGGAUCAGAAUGCCACGGUGAAUACGUUCCCGGGCCUUGUACACACCGCCCGUCACACCAUGGGAGUGGGUUGCAAAAGAAGUAGGU
rnacentral:rRNA from 2 species